AAGUCGUAACAAGGUUUCCGUAGGUGAACCUGCGGAAGGAUCAUUAUUGAAUAAACUUGGCUGGGUUGUUGCUGGUUCUUUCGGGGACAUGUGCACACCCGUCAUCUUUGUAUUUCCACCUGUGCACAUUUUGUAGGUCCAAAAAAUUUUUCCCGAGACACUCGUUUGGGGGACUGCCGUUCGUUAAUGUCGGCUUCCCCUGUUGGCCUGUAUAGGUCAAAAUUUUUUUCCGAGACACUCGUUUGGGGCACUGUCAUCUGGCUUGCUCUGCAUUUAUUGGCCUAUGUUUUCAUAUACACCAUAAUGUAAUAGAAUGUUAUUAAUGGGCUUUGCCUAUAAACUAUAUACAACUUUCAGCAACGGAUCUCUUGGCUCUC
rnacentral:misc_RNA from 1 species